UACGUAGGGUGCAAGCGUUAAUCGGAAUUACUGGGCGUAAAGCGUGCGCAGGCGGUUUUGUAAGUCUGACGUGAAAUCCCCGGGCUUAACCUGGGAAUUGCGUUGGAGACUGCAAGGCUGGAGUCUGGCAGAGGGGGGUAGAACUCCACGUGUAGCAGUGAAAUGCGUAGAGAUGUGGAGGAACACCGAUGGCGAAGGCAGCCCCCUGGGUCAAGACUGACGCUCAUGCACGAAAGCGUGGGGAGCAAACAGG
rnacentral:rRNA from 1 species